CCUAUGUUUUGGAGCAUGGUCAGCUUGCGAGGAUCGGAUACUUACUACCUACAUUAACACUCAUGGAGAAGGCAAAUUGAGAGAUCUCCCUCAAAAAGCAGGUUUGAAGCGAUGUGGGAAGAGUUGCAGGCUGCGACGGUUCAUGGUUGAACUACCUGAGACCAGAUAUCAAGAGAGGCAACAUUUCCAAAGAAGAAGAAGAGCUCAUCAUCAGACUUCAUAAGCUGCUUGGUAUCAGAUGGUCUCCAAUA